UGUGAGGUUUGGUGUGAGAGACAAGGUGAGGUUUGGUGUGAGAGACAAGGUGAGGUUUGGUGUGAGAGACAAGGUGAGGUUUGGUGUGAGAGACAAGGUGAGGUUUGGUGUGAGAGACAAGGUGAGGUUUGGUGUGAGAGACAAGGUGAGGUUUGGUGUGAGAGACAAGGUGAGGUUUGGUGUGAGAGACAAUGUGAGGUUUGGUGUGAGAGACAAUGUGAGGUUUGGUGUGAGAGACAAUGUGAGGUUUGGUGUGAGAGACAAG